rnacentral:rRNA from 1 species
AUACGGAGGGUGCAAGCGUUAAUCGGAAUUACUGGGCGUAAAGCGUACGUAGGCGGUUGGUUAAGUUAGAUGUGAAAGCCCCGGGCUUAACCUGGGAACUGCAUUUAAAACUGGCGAACUAGAGUUGAGUAGAGGGGAGUGGAAUUUCAGGUGUAGCGGUGAAACGCGUAGAGAUCUGAAGGAACACCAGUGGCGAAGGCGACUCCCUGGACUCGAACUGACGCUGAGGUACGAAAGCGUGGGUAGCAAACGGGAUUAGAAACCCUAGUAGUCC